AUGGGUGUCUGGGGCUGGAGCCUACAGCCUGGAGCCCGUAUCUGUCUGAAUAUUCCAUCAGAGACCCGGGAGGAGACCUGUCACCUGCUUUUCUUCUGCCCCAGCUGCAGUACUCGGAGCAUGAGGCCCAGGGCACGAUUUCCUUGGCGGUGGAGGAGCAUCGUCUCCACGUGGGCAGCAGGCUGGCGACUGCGAAGGCCCGCGUCACCAGCAUCAUCAGGCUGGAACAGACCUUCCCCCAGUUCGGCGCCUUUCCCAGGGAACUGGUCCUGCAGACCUCAUAUGAGAGAGCCCACGGGGCCCACGCCCUGCACCAGACGGUUCUGUGGGACAACCAGGAGGUGGUCCUCAACGGGGGCCUCUCUGGGCCCUUCCCCAGGCUCGCGGGGAACCUCAGCCUGCAGGGUGAGUGUCUGACGGGGCACCGGCAGGGGCGGCCUGGUCGCUCAGUGAACCAUCUUUGAACAACUGCUUAUCCCAGGCACUGUUCCAGGCACUGGGGGUCCACCCAGAAGUGAGAUGGCCCAGGGCCCUGCCCUCGGGGGGGAGAGGCAGUGAGCAGCGAUGUGAACGUGAAGAAAAAAAUCACAUCAGUGUUUCUAACACUCUAAGAGUGAGAAGGGUUCGAUUUAGGGGUGUGGGGCUCUUUUGGGGGGUGUAGGCUAGAAAGGCAUGUCUGAGGAGGUUGCGUUCAAGCUGAGCCCUGAAUGACGAGAAAGAAGUAGCCAUGGUGAGGGCCAUUGCAGGCAAAAGGAAAAGCAGGUGCAAAGGUCCUGCGGUAGGAGUAAGCCUGGGGUGCUAGAGCAACAGCAGCAAGGCCAGUGUGGCCAGAGUGCACCGAAAGGGGUAGCAACGAGAGGAGACGGUUGGGGGCAGGCUGAGGGACCCAGGUCACGCAGGUCCCAGCCCCCUACCCGGAGUGAGGGUUACCCUGACUGUGAAAAGAUGGGAAGUGUGUUAGAUGGGGCAACCCCGAGCAUCCCCAGGGGGUUUUAGAGCUGAGGCUGAUGUCAGCAGGGGAGGCGAGCGCUGUCCCACCGCAGGCCCGCUGAUGGCACUUGGGUCCUCCGAGGCCCUCCAGGACACAGGCUGCCCCGGCAGGGGCCGUGCAGUCACGUGAGUAUCGGUUUCUGUUCGAAGAGCCCCCUUUACACACAGCAGAGCCCGACCUGCUGGCCGGCCGAGUGGGAGACACCGUGCAGACCCCAGUCCCGGGAACGCGGCUUGGGGGGUGGUCGGAUGGCGUCUCCCAGGCCCCCGCUGCCGUAUGUGUGUCCUGCGAGGCAGGGGAAAUGUGUGACCCCUCAGUGCACCAAGGCAGCGUGUGUGUGCGUGCACGGUUGUGCGUGCAGGGGGAUCGUGGGUGGGCUCCGCAGCCUGAGGCCCCUGCUCUGUGCUUACAGAGCUUGCAAGCUGG
rnacentral:lncRNA from 1 species